rnacentral:rRNA from 1 species
GUAGGUGGCAAGCGUUGUCCGGAAUUAUUGGGGCGUAAAGCGCGCGCAGGCGGGUUUUUUAAGUCUGAUGUGAAAGCCCACGGGCUCAACCGUGGGAGGGGUCAUUGGAAACUGGAGAACUUGAGUGCAGAAGAGGAGAGCGGAAUUCCACGUGUAGCGGUGAAAUGCGUAGAGAUGUGGAGGAACACCAGUGGCGAAGGCGGCUCUCUGGUCUGUAACUGACGCUGAGGCGCGAAAGCGUGGGGAGCAAACAGGAUUAGAUACCCUGGUAGUCCACGCCGUAAACGAUGAGUGCUAAGUGUUAGAGGGUUUCCGCCCUUUAGUGCUGCAGCAAACGCAUUAAGCACUCCGCCUGGGGAGUACGGUCGCAAGACUG